rnacentral:rRNA from 1 species
CCUGCCCAAGAGAUCGGGAUAACACCUGGAAACAGAUGCUAAUACCGGAUAACAACAGAUGAUGCCUAUCAACUGUUUAAAAGAUGGUUCUGCUAUCACUCUUGGAUGGACCUGCGGUGCAUUAGCUAGUUGAUAGGGUAACGGCCUACCAAGGCGAUGAUGCAUAGCCGAGUUGAGAGACUGAUCGGCCACAUUGGGACUGAGACACGGCCCAAACUCCUACGGGAGGCAGCAGCA